rnacentral:rRNA from 1 species
AUUGAACGCUGGCGGCAGGCCUAACACAUGCAAGUCGAGCGGAUGAAGGGAGCUUGCUCCUGGAUUCAGCGGCGGACGGGUGAGUAAUGCCUAGGAAUCUGCCUGGUAGUGGGGGAUAACGUCCGGAAACGGGCGCUAAUACCGCAUACGUCCUGAGGGAGAAAGUGGGGGAUCUUCGGACCUCACGCUAUCAGAUGAGCCUAGGACGGAUUAGCUAGUUGGUAGGGUAAAGGCCUACCAAGGCGACGAUCCGUAACUGGUCUGAGAGGAUGAUCAGUCACACUGGAACUGAGACACGGUCCAGACUCCUACGGGAGGCAGCAGUGGGGAAUAUUGGACAAUGGGCGAAAGCCUGAUCCAGCCAUGCCGCGUGUGUGAAGAAGGUCUUCGGAUUGUAAAGCACUUUAAGUUGGGAGGAAGGGCAGUAAGUUAAUACCUUGCUGUUUUGACGUUACCAACAGAAUAAGCACCGGCUAACUUCGUG